GGAAUCUUCGGCAAUGGGGGCAACCUUGACCGAGCAACGCCGCGUGAGUGAAGAAGGUUUUCGGAUCGUAAAGCUCUGUUGUAAGAGAAGAACGUGUGUGAGAGUGGAAAGUUCACACAGUGACGGUAACUUACCAGAAAGGGACGGCUAACUACGUGCCNG
rnacentral:rRNA from 1 species